ensembl:lncRNA
CUCACAUAUAAGAGAGAAAAGAGUCAGACAGGAAGUGAUGAGGGUGAACACCACUAGUCUGGGGUCAAAGGUCCUCCCUCUUGCUUCUGCAACUGAGUCCCAGAGAGGGACUCGUGGGGGUCCCAAAGGGGAAAAGACACGUGUUGUGUCUCCUUUCCUAGUUAAGCCCUUGAGAAAGGGCAAGACCUCAGAAAGCUGAAUUGACUGAACAGCGUAUUUCGGCAUACAGGACCUUAAAACAGACGAGCUUGGAUUUCCACACUCUGUGGAAAGGAAAAAUAAUAAUUUCUGUGUACCUAAUGGGAAUACAGAAGUAAUGGAGACAGUCGCUGGACCUGAUGGGAUCUUGCUGACAAGAACCAGGGAAAGCGCAGUGUGAUAUUCAGGGGCCAACAACUGAGGCCCGGGUGGGAUGACGGGCUUUUCUGUGGAUUCCAGUGUCAACAGCCACCAACAGAGCCAGAUGCCCCCUCUUGGCCCCUAAUACCUUGGCACCACAUAAGCUCCCUGGAGGGGCCACUGUAUUGGCUGAGAUUAAAUUUUCACCUCUCUGGAAAAGUUAGGACACAAAGUAAAAUUUACAUUAAAUUAUAGAAAAUAAAGGAUUUUUUUUGAAUGUGCAUGAAUAUAUAAUGUACAUACUAAUCAUAAUUGUGCUUCUCAUAGAAAUUUUGCUUUGUUAAAUGACGUAUUUCUUCUUUCUUCUAGAUUAAAAAGAAAAAGCUCCUUACAAAGAGCAUAAGUGUGACUUUUCAUUUAACUACUGUCAAACCAGAAAAAAACCCCCUAAAACCCAACCAUGUUGAAGGUUUAAAAGGAACUGAAGGCUGCUUACUUUUUGUUGACUUUUAUCUCCUGUGUCUGGGAACAUGCUGUACUCAUGACAGUUCUGUUUCUGUACACUCAGGCCUAGAACUCGGGUAUUGUCUCCACAUUUCUAAAAGCUUUUGGUCUGAUUCAUGAGUGUCACGAUGCGGAAAGAUGGUUGCAUUUUUGCCUGACUCUCAUGUACCAUUUGACAGCCUCCCACUCCGAGAGAACUGGCAGGCCGGCUGGGUAGUUAUUGUGCUUCACAAAGAGAAUUAUUAUAAAGAAAUAUUCGUACAACAGGAAGGGAAAAAGAAAACUCACAGAUUUUAGCACAACACGAAUUGAUUUACUUCAGAGAGUGAAAAUCUCCAUGUUCAGGUUAUGUAAUUAAGAUCCUUCUCAUUUAAAUUUCUUUAAAUUUUCUUUAAAGAAGUGAAUUUUCUUUCAUUAAGAGAAUUAGAAUAAUCUCUCCACUCUCCUCUAUAUGUAUAACUAUUACUUAAAUUAUGAUAAUUAUGCUUGAGUGACGUCAGCCCUGAUUUAUCCCUACAGGUGCCCCCUUCCUACUUUCAUUUCCACUCACACAUUCACUUUGUAAAUUGCUUUUUCAGAUUCUCCAAUGUGAACUGGUUGCAUUGAAGGCCACAAUUAACAGCCCUUUGCAAUGUGACCUUGCAGAUUCUUCCAUCAAGAAAUUAGCCCUGAGCUAACAUAUGCCGCCAAUCCUCCUCUUUUUGCUGAAGAAGACUGGCCCUGAGCUAACAUCCGUGCCCAUCCUCCUCUACUUUAUAUGUGGGAUGCCUGUCACAGCCUGGCUUGACAAGGAGUGCGUAGGUCUGCACCCGAGAUCUGAACCGGUGAACCACAGGGUAACGAAGCAGACCGAGUGAACCCAACUGCUAUGCCACUGGGCCGGCCCCUUGAGUUAUUUUAUGGAGCAGGAAGCAACCUGUUUUAAAGUCCGAAGAUUCAAAGGAUGCUGAUAAAGUUAUGGAUAAUUAAAUCACAAUAGGUUAAUGAAGAUUAACGAAAAUGUUUAGAUGUCUGAGGUCUAUUCUUAACCUUUGAGGAUGACAUUGAGCAGCAGCCACUUCCCCUCUGGAGCAAAGCUGCAAGUUGCCUUCCCAGCAUCCACCCUCCUGCUUUCCUUUUUUGUUUCCCAUUUUGUUUAGGUUGUCAUGCUUCAUCUAAACAAAAGUACUACACUUCCUAGCAUCCCUGGCAGCCAGGGGUGACCAAUGAGAUGAAAUUAGAAUUUACUAGGUAAAGCUUCUAAGAAGGGUCUUUUUUCUUUUUUUUGCUGAGGAAGAUUAGCCCUGAGCUAACAUCUGUUACCAAUCUUCCUCUUUUUUUUGCUUGAGGAAGAUUAUCCGUGAGCUGACAUCUGUGCCAAUCCUUCUCCACUUUAUAUGUGGGUCGCCACAGCAUGACUGAUGAGUGCUGUAGGUCUGCGCCAGGGAUCCAAACCCACAAACCUGGGACACUGAUGUGGAGCAUGCCAAACUUAACCACCACACCAUGGGGCUGGCCCAGAAGGGUCUUUUAAGGAGGGACAGACUCAGCUUGCACAUGCCUUUUAUCCUUCAGUGUUCAAUCUUUCCUUUCUCCAGAAAACAAACUCAAUGCUGGACGUGAAGCAGUCAUUUUAUGGCAAUGAGGGAUCAUGCAAACAAAAGCAAACAUGGUGAUGCUGACGUGGAGGGCUAGAAUGAGCCUGGCUCCCCAGUGGCAUCGUGGAGUUGCCAGAUCAGCCCCAGAUUUCCUACUGGGAACCUCUUGUUAUAUAUGCAAAAUAUACACAAAUUUGUUUAAGCCACUGUUACAUUUUUGGGGGUUGAGGGGUAGUUUCUUUUAUUCAUAGCUGAAAACAUCCCCUAUCAAAGUAGUUUCUAGAAUGCCUGGGGGACCCUUGGUGGUGACUUUUGUAUUUUCAGGUGUUUAGGAGUUCCCCACAUUACAAACCUUGCUUUACUGACAAAUAAAAUCUGUGGCUCUGUUUCUGCUCCCAAAUUCAGUCUUGUCACCCCUUAUAGACCUUUUCCUCCAUCAAUUUCACGUUCCCUAUUCUUCAUUAACUUGCAUCCACAGGUGUCAGCUCAAUGGGAGAGGGGUAGCCAACCUCUUCUUGUAAAGGGUGGAAAAGCCUUUCCUCCUAAGGAAUGCCCAGCAUAGCGAUGGAUACAGACGAUGCUCCAGGAAUACAUAGGGUUGAGGCUGCUGCUAUCAUUCACACCAGAAACAGCUUUCUGUCACUCCUUUAGUGGACUAUGUCAUUUAAAUUUUAUGUGUUAUUUAAACGUAGAAUUGUGGCUUUCUCACACCUUUGCAUUUCCCAUUUUCAAGAAGUCUUGAUUAUCAAGCCAGAAAAUCCACUGGUUUUUGCCUGAAUGAGUAAAAGAGUUUUUAUCUUCCACUAGUUAAAAGAGAAACAAUCCAGGUGAAUCUUUUUAUCCAUAUUUUUGUUUUAGGUAUUUUUUUUAAAAGAUCUUUUUAUUUACAGCUACAUGAAAGAUUCUUUUCGUUUAUUUUCUUCAAAAUUUCUUUUCUUUGCCCCUUUCUGUUUCUUUCAUUCCUAAAGUGUAACUUGGGAAGUGCAAAGGGCAAAAUCUAUUUUUACAUACAUUUAGUUGGAAAUCAAAUGCUGAGGGGCAAAGCUAGAUAUCAAUUGCACAGCAUAUUUUAAAUUUGGACUCAACUACAGCAUAAUAGAUCAGGAAUGUGCCACUUCAUUUAGAAUGGCUUUUUUGUCUGUAGGCACCAUUCUUAAUCAUCCAUCACUCCUGGAAAGCAUUUGUCAGAGGCUGCAUCAUCAUUUCUCCCAGCUCCUCCCAGCCCCUGGGCCUCAGUGUGCCAGCCAGCUCUUUCUCCUCUGACUUCUUCACUAGAGCAGCACCCCUUAGGCAUUUCUUAUCACUUGCAGGGCUGAAGUCAGCACUUUCCUAGAGUGGGAAGCUCGGGAGUCCUUCCAAGGAGUUGCAGGAAAAACUGAAAUAGUUAUGGGCAGAGAAUCAGAGCAUAUUACAUUUCUCCAGGUCAGCUGAAAACUUGCCAUUGAGCCCUCACAUUUCCUUUUAGGCUAAUCAGUGUUUUCUUUCGGAGCUGAAUGCAUAUGUACACUGUGGAUGUCUGACUUAUCCUAUCCUGAUGAUCCCUAGGUGUCUACUUAAGUAGAGUGUUAUAGUGGAAGUGGCAUAGCCUUGGAGACGAAAGACUCUGAGUCCUGCCAGUUCACAUCAACAUGACUUCAAACAAUAGCCCAUGUCCCAGGAGUCUGUUCCUCAUCUGUGGAUGGAGUUGACAAGGCUUGCCCUGUCUAUCUUAUAGGAUUGCUGUGAGGUUUGACAAUGAGAUGGUACGCAGAAGUGUUUUGUAUACCAUAAAGCACAAUAGACGUGUGAUUAGAAAAUCUCUCCACUGAACCGGAACACACCACCUCUCUCUAUAGGCACUCCUCAUAGAAGGGAAGUAAUUUUACUCCCAUGCCGGGUUCCUAUAAAUACCAGCCGUCCCUGCCAGGCCGGGGCAAACCUCAACCCUUCCCACCUUGCAGUCAUGAGGUUUGGCAGAGUGAUAAAGUCUCAGACUACAGAGCUCAAACCCCGACUCCUUUACCCACUAAUUGUGGGAUCUUGGAUUAGUUACUCAAGCUUUCCAGCCUCAGUUAUCUUAUCUGUCGACCUGGGAUAUUGAUUGUAUCCAUCCAUAAGGUUGACUUAUGGAUUAUGUGAGACAAGCCCUGUAAAGUGGUUAGUAUGGUGUCUGGUAUACAGCAAACUGUGAAUAUUAGCUCUUGUUAAUUUGUUAUUACCAUAGACAAAGUAGAUCAUGUGAUACUGAGAAGAUGGCUAACGUUUUAUUUUUUUCCAUAUAAAUGGCUAAUAGUUUGGCACACAGCCUGGGGGGUAUGUUCUCUAAGAUCUCAUGCCAGCAAUGGCAGCUGGGUAGGUGAUUUUUAAAACGUUUUGUCAUUUAGCUUGAGGUCAUUUGAAUUUGAAUUUGACCUCUUGGCUUCUACUUUUUCCUCAUUCCACAUUCUGACAGAAAUAAAGAGUGAUCGGUAUUUUACAGAUACUGUGACUUGAUUUUCUGGCCAAUGUCUGAGAGUUUGCUUUUUUGUUUGUGCAUUUAUUUAUAUGAAUAAUCUUAUAAUGCAGAAAUAAUAAAAUCACAUUUAAUUAUGCAUUUACUUAACUUUAAUUUUGGGGAAAAGGAUAAAAAGAUGUGGAAAUAUGUUCUGUUCUGGAAAAUCUUGCAUAUGUGGUCAUAGUACUCAUGGAUUUAUGAUUUGGAUUAAUGAAAUUAACCUCAUUAAGCUUUCAGAAACUAUAAUUAAAAACACUUGAUUUACUACAAUGCAACUAAGAAAAUAGUUAUUGGAUCACAAAGCUCAUCACCUAAAAAACUGAGGGUGGAAAAUCAGGUAAGAGGACCGAAAGAGAAAGACUCACUUUAGGGAUUCUAUUUUUGUGGGAAUUUCUGAAUGCACUUGUUGAAGGCCUGUGUUUAUUUUCUGGUAAUCUAUUAGUAAGAAAGCUAUGGAGGACCUGAUAUGGAUGGGUAUAAUGGGGAUUUUAGGACCCAAGAGAUUUGGGGAGGGCAAAAGCUAAUGGGGAAAUAAGUGUGUUUCAUUGAUAGACUUGCUCAUGCCUGAGCCUGGAGUGCGCUAAUAGGAUGAAUCUCACGUGCACGUACCUUCAUUUUUACUCUGCUUGUAAGCACAUGCCUUGCUGGGAUGUCUAGUCCAUCAACGUGUGCCACACACAGGACCUCCAAGGUAUUCCAUUCAACUGUCCUCUGUUAAUCAGUUAAGAACUAGGAUAAUCUAUAUGAAUACAGCUAUGUGUCGGCAGCCUAACUGGGUCUCCUGUAUCUUCAGACUUCUCUUAUUAUUAGCUUUAUUUCCUUAAAAUUAAAAUAUGUCCAAGACUCACAUAGAUAUGUAUGUAAGCAAUGACAAAAAAAAAAAGCCCUUUCUCCCCGUGCUUCAGGGCAUUAUCUUGAUUAUUUUGGGGGUCCUCAUUUUCUUAUUUCCUGCUCACUUACUAGCUGGUUUCUCCCUCUGUUAUGCUCCUCUGCAUACAUUCUAGUAAGGAUGCUCCCUCCAAGGUCUCUAGAGGCCUUUAAUAUGGCAAAUCCCAUGAGCAAUGUUUGGAUAACUCUCCAUACUUGACUUUUCUGUGGCAUUAGAUACUGCUACUUGAAGUUUGUUACAACUGUAUUUUUUUGUAGGAUCUUCUUCUUCCACCUACCUCUUAAAUGUUGAUAUUCUCUAUGGUUAAAUCUUUGGUUCUUUCUCCUCACUUUAUAAAUAUUCUUUGGGUAUGUAGUAGAUACCCUCCUACGUGCCUAUGACUCCUACAUGUAUAUCUUCAGUCAAUGUCUCUGUCCCAGUUUCUGUGCCUAUGUGUCUUACCUAUUAAAUUGCUCUAUUUGGAUAUCCAACAGUUAACCUAAAUAUGCUAGGUUUAAAAUGUAAAUCGUUUCUCUCCAAGUUUGCUGCUUCUUAGAAUUUUAAAAUAUAUUGCUUAAUAGUAAUACUAUUCAUCCAGUAGCCUGUUAAAAAUUCUUAAUAUUACUUUUGAGUUUCCUUCUGGUUGUCAACUACUCCUUUCCUUUCCACCCGUAUUCAGUCUUGAUUUCCUCCUAUCUAUCUGGGUUGGAGGUCCCCAAAACCACAUCCAGCUUGGAUGAUUUACUAGGAGGAUUUGUGGGACUCAGCAUAUAGUCAUACUCACAGCUAAGGUUUAUUACAGCUAACUGAUACUAAGAAAAAUCGGCGAAGGGAAAAGCCAGAUGAAGCGAAGUCCAGAAGAAACCAGGUACAAGCUCCCAAGAGUGCGUUCCCUGUGGGGACUGACGGCACAAGUUUAAGUUCGUCAGCAUUGAAUUGUGACAGAAUAUAUGAAAUGUCUACCAGUGGAUGGAACAGUCCUAUAAACGUGCACUUUUCUAAGCCGUCACAUCCUGUCAGUAGAAAUGGAUGAAGGAUGAAGCAUUGACGAGAUUUAUAGUGCUUUUAUAUAUAAACAUUUUACAGAGAACUCUUUUCAUAAGGUAACAUGUGUGAAUUGUUGCCUCCUGUAUGCAUUCAAAAGACUUUGUUCUACAACAAAGCCGUGGGCCACGGUGUAACAGCUAACCUCAGUGAUAAUCUGCUGAAAAAGGUGCUUGGAAUCAAUGGAGAUAAAACAUCAUGUUUUGCCAUGUUCCCUUCUGCCUAUAUACUUGUUUUUGUAAGUGGAGACCAAUGAUCAAGGUAAAGAAACCUAACAAACCAAAAUCAAUGUUAGUUUAAGGGUGACUUGGUGGGCUCACAUACACACUACUGAUGGCCCUGAGAUUCACCAAGGGCCUCUAUGGGACGCUGGAUGGCAUCCUCAAACUAAAGUAUAUCUGGUGAGUGACCACUAACCAUGAAACACUACCCUGGGUAACUAAACAUUUUAGAAUGACAUAUAUACUUAAAUUUUACUCUAAGCCCUCAAUGACAAUGAAACAUUUGAUGGAAAAGCCAACAUUGGCCAAAACAUUCUGAAAGAAGUUGGGAGAAAUUGGCAUAGCUUCAUGUCCUAGGACAAGUCACAUUUAUGUUUAAGGAAAAGAGACAUACUGAGGAUUUUGAGUGCUUUGAAACAAUGCUAUUUCAGAAGGAAGAAAAAGGAUGGCAACUGGUCUGUACAGAUAAGAAAACUUUAGAAAAAUGGAUACCACACUCAAUAGUUAGACAACUUGCUAGAGACAUAGAUGGAAAAGAAUAUACGUGCUUACCCCAGACGGGCUAUAAAGUAUGAUCCUCUAGGUGGAAGCAAAGGCAGCUCAAGGAAAAUGUCCUAGGAUUUUGAUAGCAAAAACCAAGGAAUAAACUUGCGAGAUACUUAUGGUCCCUUUAACUGCCAAGGCCCCAAACACAAACAAAACCCAGAAGUAUUAGUCAGGGUUCUCCAGAAAGACAGGACCAAUAGGGUGACAUAUAUUUAUUUAUAUGUAUAAAAUAAGCAGUUGGUUCAUAUGAUUAUAGAGACCGACAAGUCACAAGAUCUGCAGUUGUUACAUUGGAGACCCAGGAGAGCCAUGGUGUAGUUCCAGGCUGAAAGUCAGUAGACCUAGGAAGGGUUAAUGACUUAAUCCCAAGGCAGGAAAAAAAAGGUGCAUCAGCUGGAAGGCACUCAGGCAAGAGAAGUGGCCUCUUGCUCCCAGGAGGAUAGAAUUUUUGUUCUAUUCCAGCCUUCGACUGAUUGGAUAAGACCCAGCCACGUUAGAGAGGGCAAUCUACUUUAUUCAGUCUACUGGUUCAAAUGCUAGUCUCAUCCAGAAAGGCCUUCCAGACACACCCAGAAUAAUGUUUUUCCAAAUGUCUUGGCACCUCAUGGUUCAGUUGUGUUAUAUGAAAUUAACCAUCACACCAGAGUUUCCUAAAGGUGUGGUUAGUUGGGAUUGGAAACCUAUUAAACACGACUAGGAUUUUACCAGUGAGGAGGAUAGGCAUUAUAUAAAGAUAAAGCUCAUUGGGAAUUCAUGUCAGUACAACAUUAUAAUAUGAAAGAGGGCAUAGACCUCUGCCCAGGAGAGACCUGGCAUCCAGAAUUAACUGAGACUAGUCUUGUGAUUUAUACCUCAAUCGGUGACAAUAAAUGUGCAAGGACUGAUUGUGUUGAGAAGGCUGAGAAAAUACUAGUGGAAUUCUAACUCAUUUAUUUUGUAAGGAUCUUAGACUAACCCGUAAUGUAACGUCAUUUUGGUGUAAUACUGGUGCAAUCUGUAGGGUUAAUUUGAUUUUACUGUUAUACUGAUAUAAGUGAUCAAAUGUAUUGGGAGAAUGAAUUAAAACCCCUGCAAGCCAUGCUUCGAAUGAAAGCUGAUUAGCCAGAGGCAAAAAGGAUCUUGUUAAUUAUCAAUUAACUGUUACAUUAAAUCAGUCUAUUGAUACUUUUUACAAAGUUCAUAUUUAGUGGUGGAAGGAGGUAAGAGAGUUGUCGAGUUUGUACAUGGUUAUGAAUACGUCUGUGUUGGAAUAUUUGGUAAACUGAAAUAUUUCUUUCUUUUUUUUUUUUUUGAGGAAGAUUGUCCCUGAGCUAACAUCUGUGGCAAUCUUCCUCUGUUUUAUGUGGGAUGCCACCACAGUGUGGCCUGAUGAAUGGUGCUGGGUCUGUGCCCAGGAUCCGAACUUGUGAACCCAGGGCCGUGAAGCAGAGCACUUUAACUUAACCAGUACACUACUGGGCUGGCCCCUGAAAUGUUUCUUUAAACCAAUAACUACCCUCAUUAGAAGAUACAAAUGAUUAGUAUUUUGGUGUGUAUCUUCCUACUUCUUUUGUUCUAUAAAUGUUGAAUGAUGCAGAAAGAAUAAUGAUGAGUGGUUUGUAAUUCAGAAUGCCUAACCAAGGGUUAAGGGCUUGGAUUGUGUAAAUGUAGGUCUAAUCUGAGUUAUUCUGCUUCAACCCUGUGCUUAUCUUUGAGACAACAGGGGCAUGGUGCUGACUCUUGGCCAAACCUGGAUGAAAUGUGCUAACUAACGAUAGAAAUAGAUCGGUGCUAAAGUCUGCAAAACGCCAGGGAUCAACCUUAGCCGUUUAUCAGCACUGGUUUCAGAAAACAUACAGAUUGAUGAUUUACCCCUGGUUUCAGUUAUGUUCUUUGGUUUCUACAGUUGAGACUGAUCAUGCAGCUUGCUUUUGGCUGCAUGAUCAGAGAGCUAUUAAAAACCCUUCAGAUGAGACGGUGGCUCUCCUGACACCAAGAUGUUUCACACAAUCCUGGGGAUUCAUGAUCUGAAGAUGAAGUGCGUUCUGUGGGACUGAGACAGGACGUGGGUGCUACAGCUGAAAGUCUCAGGUCUCUCUGAUGCUGGCCUGUGUUUUCUUUCUCCUGCUGCACCACAUGCUUUACCAUUUUAGAAGUCUUACGUGAAUACACUCUGGAAUGUGAUGAGUCCUUUUGAUGAUCAAUCGUGGUAUAAUUGCUGCUAUGUUAUUUUUCCCUGAACCAUUUAAGAGUAAGUUGCAGAGAUGAUUCCUCUUUAUCUCUAAAUAUUCUGGUGUACGUUUCCUAAAAAAAGAAAAAAUUCUCCUACAUACCACAGUACAAUUAUCAAAAUCAAGAAACUAAUGUGAACACAGUAUGAUUAUAUUACAUAGAUAUAUUACAUAUUAUGUACUAUAAUAAUCUACAGACUUUAUUCAGAUUUGUCUUUAUACAGCCUUUAUUCAGACUUUGUACAAGUAAUGUCCUGUCUAACCAAAGAAAAUCCAGGGCCAUGUGUUGCAUUUGGUGAUCAUAUAUCUUAAAUCUCCGUUGAUUUGGAACUUUCUGAGUCUUUGUCUCUCAUGAUAUUGAUAUUUUUGAAGAGUAGGGCCAGUUAUCUAGUAGGAUGUUUCUCGGUUUGCGUUUGCCUGAGAUUUCCUCAGGAUUAGAUUCAGUUUAUGCACUUUGGGCAGGAAUUCCACAGAUAUGAUGCUGAAUUCUCAGUGCAUUAUAUCAGGAUGCACACGUAUCAGUUAGUUUCAACAUUGGAGAUAUUAACUUUGAUCAUUUGGUUAAGGUGGUGUCUUUAGGUUUUUUUCCUAUAGAGUUACUAUUUUAUCUGUUUUAAUUAAUGUGUAUCCUGUGGGUAUAUGUAUACAUAAAGUAUAAUACGUACACUUUGACACUAUGUAAAUAUCCUAACUUCCUUAAAUUUUACCCUCAAAUUUUAGCAUCCAUUGAUAAUUCUUGCUUGAAUCAACUGUUAUUAUGACAGUUGCCAAAUUGGCAAUUUUCUAAUUACAUCAUUCUGUCUACAUCUAUUAGUUUUUUUUCUAUUGGAAGAAAGAGCCCACCUCCCCACCUUUCUUUCUAGCAGUGUGUACACAUGGAUUCCUACUCUAUGCAAUACCAUCUUUAUUUAUUUUGAUGCUCCAUUGUCCCAGAUUUGGCCAUGGGAACCACUUUAAGCUGGCUCUUGUGUCCUUUUGACAUGCCCUUGCUAUUUUUUGAAGACUUCCAAACUUUUUGAUAUAGCAAGAUGUUCCUGGCUUAUUUUAUAUUUUCCAUGCCUUGGCCCCGGAAACAGCCAUUUCUCCGAGGAGCUUUGGUACCUUUCAAUGGAGAAUGAAUGGUAUUUCGAAACCAAAAUCUGGGUGUCAGGUAUGCUAAUUGUAACUAGACUGUCUUGGCUUCUAGACUUUCUCAACAGACAGAGGUAGGAAAUAGAAUAUGUAAAUGAAUGUACUCAUACAUGCAUUUAAAAUUUUGCAUACUACUGUCACUUCUAAUUCCCUUUUUUCCAAAGAAUUUAUCAUCUUCUAAUACAGUAUAUAUUUUAUUAUUUAUAAUAUUUGUUAACAGCAG